rnacentral:snoRNA from 1 species
GGCCAUCGCUUUGUCAAGACUACUUCUAGUGCCCAGCACUGCUCUCUCCAUGGAAGCUUGUCUGUUACGGCUUUGGCAGAUUGACUCCGCCCGCUGCCUUGGUUUCAUUCUGAAGUUCAGGGUUAGACAUGCUUUCGUUCUGAAAGGAUUGUUGUAUAGGGCCGGCUGUGUUUUGUUUUGAGUUGAGUGCUGCUCCCGCCACAUCGGUGUCCUUAUAGUUGCACUCUUAGUUACAUUUCACACAUUU